rnacentral:rRNA from 1 species
CGAAAGCCUGACGGAGCAAUACCGCGUGAGGGAGGAAGGUUUUUGGAUUGUAAACCCCUUUUCUCAGGGAAGAACAAAUGACGGUACCUGAGGAAUCAGCCUCGGCUAACUCCGUGCCAGCAGCCGCGGUAAUACGGAGGAGGCAAGCGUUAUCCGGAAUUAUUGGGCGUAAAGCGUCCGCAGGUGGCGAUUCAAGUCUGCUGUCAAAGCACGGGGCUUAACUCCGUAAAGGCAGUGGAAACUGAAUAGCUAGAGUGCCGUAGGGGUAGAGGGAAUUCCCGGUGUAGCGGUGAAAUGCGUAGAGAUCGGGAAGAACAUCGGUGGCGAAAGCGCUCUACUGGACGGCAACUGACACUCAGGGACGAAAGCUAGGGGAGCG